rnacentral:rRNA from 1 species
GGGUUAAGUCCCGCAACGAGCGCAACCCUUUGUCAUUAGUUGCUACAUUCAGUUGGGCACUCUAAUGAGACUGCCGGUGACAAGCCGGAGGAAGGUGAGGAUGAUGUCAAGUCAGCAUGACCUUUAUAUCCAGGGCUACACACACGCUACAAUGGUCUGUACAAUGGGUAGCCAAGCCGCGAGGCGGAGCCAAUCCUGAAAGCAGGCCUCAGUUCAGAUUGCAGUCUGCAACUCGACUGCAUGAAGCCGGAGUUGCUAGUAACCGCAGGUCAGCAAUACUGCGGUGAAUACGUUCCCGGGUCUU